AAGUCGUAACAAGGUUUCCGUAGGUGAACCUGCGGAAGGAUCAUUAACAAAUCAUGUGAGUUGGGGCUUUGCCCGGCUCAUUUUUGCGCGUGUGUUGUGUGACUGGUUACUAGAAGUGGGAUUUAUAACAGAGACAACUUUUAACAAUGGAUCUCUUGGCUCUU
rnacentral:misc_RNA from 1 species